UUAAUCGGAAUUACUGGGCGUAAAGCGUGCGCAGGCGGUUUUGUAAGUCUGAUGUGAAAUCCCCGGGCUCAACCUGGGAACUGCAUUGGAGACUGCAAGGCUAGAGUGUGUCAGAGGGGGGUAGAAUUCCACGUGUAGCAGUGAAAUGCGUAGAGAUGUGGAGGAAUACCGAUGGCGAAGGCAGCCCCCUGGGAUAACACUGACGCUCAUGCACGAAAGCGUGGGGAGCAAACAGGAUUAGAUACCCUGGUAGUCCACGCCCUAAACGAUGUCUACUAGUUGUCGGGACUUAAUUGUCUUGGUAACGCAGCUAACGCGUGAAGUAGACCGCCUGGGGAGUACGGUCGCAAGAUUAAAACUCAAAGGAAUUGACGGGGACCCGCACAAGCGGUGGAUGAUGUGGAUUAAUUCGAUGCAACGCGAAAAACCUUACCUACCCUUGACAUGGCAGGAAUCCCGAAGAGAUUUGGGAGUGCUCGCAAGAGACCUGCACACAGGUGCUGCAUGGCUGUCGUCACUCGUGUCGUGAGAUGUUGGGUUAAGUCCGCAACGAACGCGACCCUUGUCAUUAGUUGCUACGAAAGGCACUCUAAUGAGACUGCCGGUGACAAACCGGAGGAAGGUGGGGAUGACGUCAAGUCCUCAUGGCCCUU
rnacentral:rRNA from 1 species